rnacentral:lncRNA from 1 species
UUGUAGUUGUCCAUUGAGAAGGUGAAAUUGGUGUUGAAACUGGUAAGGUUGCCCGUGGAGGCGUCCCAUAGGCGCAUUGGUUUUGAGUAAUGUGCCUGGCCGUAUGUGUAGAAGUCGUUGCUGGUGAGUUGGACCCCUGAAGCUCCGCAAGCUGCAGAUUCGAAGACUUUGAUGGAGUUGUUGCUGCAUUUGUCGAAGUUGGUGUAGCUGAACGACAACGGCGCCGUAUGGCAUGUUGGGAUCAAGAGGGACCAAGUAGUUAACACGGUGAUGAUCGUGCUUGUUAGCACUUCCAUUCCGUAUAGCUAGCUGCAGCCUGUAAUAUUAAUAAUGGUCACCAAUUAAUCAAACUCAGAUGAGUUUGAUUACAUAUAUAUUAUGAUAGUCUUGGUCAUAUUCAUAAAUAAUGUGUCGUGCAUUUACUCAAUUAGCUAGUGAUGCUUUAACUGCUGUAAACACUCAAGUUGUACACUUUAUUAUAUUAUUAUGAAUAAUUCCAUAAUUAAGACAAGUGUUGAGAUAUUACUGUUUUUUAAAAUGGUAUAACUUCACAUGAUGGACACGGUGGAGUAGUAGUUAAUAACAGUGUUUCGAGGUCAUUCGCGGUAGCAAUACCAAACCAAAUACGACGAGUAGUAGGAUCCUGAGCUAAACCUUGACUAAACCUUGAAAGACUAAAGUUAACUGUCUUUCAUUAAAUUGGAUAUACCGCAUCUUAAUUAGUUCCAUGUUAUACAAUCCUAGUUUGGUGCUAAGUCUUAAGGCGGUCGGAUGUAAUGAGCCGAGCCGAACUUUAAUAUUCUGCUCAAAUUUGAUCAUUAAUUUUUAAGCGAACCCGAAUUAUAAAAUUUUAGUUUGUAUUAAAAUCAAGCUGAUCAUUCGAGUAUGGCCGAUUAAAUAAUUUUGAUGUCAAGCUCAACAUGAAUGUUGCUUAUUGAAAAGUUUUGAAUUAAAUAUUAAACCAGUUCACUAAAAAAACAUCGUUAAGUCAAAGCUAAAAAAUAAUUAUGGAUUGAACAGAGUGCCCAGAUCCAACUACACUCGCAAUCCCCAAGGCAAGUUGACUCCAGCCCAGAACCAAAAAGAUUUAUAAUUCCAAAUUAGAUUUAGAACUACUACUUGUUCAAUUUCCCGUCUCAGAUGUAGAAAUUGUCAGUAGGAAACCGGCCGGAGACGAACUAUAUGCAUGUUAAUAUACAACAAGUGAUGAAGCUAGCUAGUUGCAGGGAGAAAAUCAAAAUGGUAACAGUACGUAGUAGAGUACCUGGAAUUAAGAGUACUAUCGUGGAUGGAGUGAGGGAGACGAGACCAAGUUGACCAAGACUGUUGACCGGCGAAGAGGAUUGACUGUGGUAGUAUCCCUGAACUGGUACGUAGUUAGGUGAAGAGUGAACACCAAUUUGUGGCCGGCAGGAGAAGGGAAAGACACGCUUUGCUUUUCUGUUGUUUCGGUGGGAACUGGGAAGGAAAGAGAGGCUUAAAUACUACAUAUGAUGUUUUGAAGUGAAGCUCCGUGCUAGCUGGUUGCUUACAGCUAGGGAGCCAUCAUAUUAAUAUUAGACUAAUUAGUCAUUAGAUAAGUAAUUAGUUGUUGACGCGCAUUAUUAGGAGCCCGGUGUAUAUAUAAUUAAAUAUAUUACAAGUGGUAUCAGUCUUUAACUAUGCCGCUACUCACCCUCAUACGCAUCAUGCAUGUAGUCCCAUAAUGUAUUAUUUUGUCCUUCACUUCAUUAAUUUUCUAUCCAUUUCCCCAUUACAUUUGUUAUUCUUACUCCAAGGCCACGCAUUGAGUUGACUUGAAAAGUCAAUAUUAAUCCAGAAAUGUGUUAAUUAAACAAACGUUAAUUUAGGAUGAGCUAGAGAAGUUUAUGUGUUAGCUUUAUUUCUUUAUUUUACGAUGGGUAGCGAAUCAUCAUCCUAUCUAGAUAACCAGUUAUAUAUAAUCACUAAUUAUAACGAGUUAUAAUAUUAAAUAUAAUUAGCCACUUACAGUAAAAUUAAACAAUAUUAGCGUAAAACCUAAAUUAAGCGAAGCGUUAGAAAAAAAUAUAAUAAAUAUUUAAGUUCAUGCUAAAGAUUAAACAUAAAUACAUAAUAGUUUAUAAGUUCACGGAUUUAUAGCUCUACAACUGACAAUGUCCAACAUAAACAAUGCUCAAAUUUUCACAUAGAAGAAAAUAAAUUUUCAACAUAAACAAUGUUCAAGUUCUCAUGAAUAUGCCUUAUUCCAUCCUACUAUGCCUAGGCGAGGCAUUUUCCUAUCGCCUAACGAUUUUUACCGCUUAGGCACGCUUUCUUGAAUACCGCUAAUUAUAAUCAGUUAUAUCAGUUUAUAACUAAUUAUAAUUUUUAUCAGGAAAUUAAUUAGGGGGUUGCUAGAAAAGUCAACGUUGGUGAUAACGUGACAAUCCGGUAAUUAGAUGGCUGAUAAUAAUUAAAAAGAUAAAAAAGUAAAUAAUAAAUGUAUAAAGACAAAAGUAUCCCUCGGCUGGUUGAAAUCGAUUGAACUUUACCAUGAUUGCAUAUAAUCGAUUACCAUGAAUUACAACAAAUGAAGAAAACUUAAAGAAUAACGCCUAGUUUUGAAGGAAUUAAAAAGUAGUCCAUAAGUUUAUAAAAUGUGCUAUCUAGUCCCUCUCACUACAGACGAACGAUCCUUUCUGGCGGUGAGGAAACUUUCUAGGGAUCGACGUCCAGAAUCGGGGUGUAGGCCUGAUCCUGGUCUUUUAUUGGAGCGAGCCCGAAUUACCAAACCGGCCAAAAAAAUCCCAAAUUUAUCUCACCAAUUUAUCCCACUAUUCAUAAAUAUUACCAAACACGAAUCAUAAAAAUGUGGAAAUUUUGAUUCGUUAGAUAGCAUUUGUGCAGGACGUGAAUAAAUGAGUUUUGUGUGUAAAUAAUUGAUAAUCGACGUGCAAAUGUAACAUUUGUGCGUGAAUAGUGAAAUAAAUGUUCUUAUCUCACCGUGAGUGUAGCUGUCCACGAGCCGAGCCGAGCCGAACGUGCCUAGACUUGGAUUGUUACAUUUCAGGCGAUCUUGAGGGAGAUGAGAGAAAGUUGACCAAGACUGUUGACCAGCGUUGAGGGUUGUGGUAUCCCCUGAUGAAUUCGAUCGUAGGAAAAAGAAAUUGAAUACAUAUGAGAUUUUACAAGUGAAGCUUCUGCGAAGAGUGGUAGCUGGUUACCUGAAGCAUCAUAUAAUUAGACUCUCUAAUAAUAUAAUUAGAUAUUUAUAAUUGAUUGGCCUCGAUUGACUUGAUUAAAUUUUCUAUCCAUCUUCCUACAUUUGUUAUCGUUAGUCCAAGGGUACACAUUGAGUUGACUCAGUUCACAAGUUAGAUAAAGGAAAGUCAAUAUUCAUCUGGAAACUAAAUUUUCUGCCGUGGGAUAUCCCUUUGAGAUCGCGUGCUAGCUGAAUUGACCAUCAGCCGUCCGAUCUUCAGCUUUUCAGGCUUUUACCCAUAAGGUAAUUUAGGUAUUUGAAACCGUUAAAUUUGCUGAUGCGACACUUUCACGUCUGCUCUAACGAAAUCGAUAAUAAAUCUUAAUUUAAACUUAAUAAACCGCACCGAUUAAAAGCCUUGAGGUUUCCCCAACUCUUGAUUUAAUCUCGCGACUUUUCAAUCACGAAUUGGAGCUUGGAGUGAUGUUGUUAAUCAACCGAAUUAAAAACAACAUUGUAUAAUCUGUUACUGGUUGCUGUAGGAUGUAUUCUCUACAUUGACAUUUUUGGAGUUAUCUGAUUAAAUAUAUAACAUUAAAACACAUAUAAGAUCAUUAGGCUGCAAGUUUGACUUCAAAUGGCUUCACCGGUUAUGGACACAAGAAAAUCAAGGACCACAUUCCAAAUAAUCGGAUUUGUUUUAUAACAGAAUAGUCGUACUCUACUGGAUCAGUUCUCAUCUUCACCAGUGGAACUGACUGUUAAACUAUGUGGAAAUGAAAGUAGGGCUGGAAAUCGGUACGAGAAUAGGAUCUCAUUCCUGAAUUUGUGAAUUUUCAAAUUUUUUAAAUUCCGAAAUUUUGAAAUUUGGUACGGAAAUUUUUAUUCGGAUUAGGAAUUUGAAUUCGGAAUUUGGGAUCUCGAAUUAGGUUUUUUCCCCGAAAUUUUUGUUCCAUUGCCAAAAGUCCAAAAAUCAUUGCAAAGAGUUUAGACAAUCAUUGCCACAAGUCCUACAAUCAGCCAACAUUGUAUAUCGUAUUGUGAGUCCAUUGUCUACAAUCGGGGAUCUCAGUACUCAUCGCAGCAGCCUCGUUCAAAUGUCUACAUUCGAGAAUCUCGAUCAAAACCACCGUCGUCUAUAUGUUGGAUUGGGUGUAUGAUGACUGUUGGUGAUUGGUUUAUGGUGGAUUGCAAAGUAUGGUUAAGGCAUGGAACAUUCACUCAGGUGCUCAGUACAUUCUCGAUGGCCCAGUUGGCCAAGUUCACGCAUUGCAUACUGGGACUAGUAUGGGGUUUGUGUUUACUACCGUUGAAGAUGGUAUGAUUUGUGGUUGGAAGACAACGAGCAAGGAAAUCGUUUCCAGCCAGCUACAUCACUGAUUGGGCAUAUACAAGUGCAGUUAUUUCCCUGAGAUCUGGAGCAUGUAGGAUGUUUUCCGGCUCCAUAAAUAAGUGAAUAAAAUAAAUUUUGGGAUUUUGGGAAUUUCGGAACUGAACAAAACAAAUCCGAAUCCGAAAUAUUUUUUUCCCGAAUCGAACUCGAAUAUUAAGUUUGGUAAUGGAAAUGGGAAUUUUCGAAAUUUUUUUAAUAAUACGAGAACGAGAACAAGGAAAUCGUAAAAUGAAGAAAUUACCCAUUUUAUGAGUACCAUGAACAUAACGGAAGAUGCGAGAUAGUUAAAUAAUAAGACAUACGAGGAGCACCGAUGUAUUGAUGAAGAACUUGAACAACAUAAUCAUGAUCAGACUGAGUGGAAGUAAGGUAGAUAAGUAGCUAAGACUACUUGUUUUAAACUCCUACUAGAUUCAACCGAGUUAUAUAUCACUGGUGUACAUAUGAUAAAACAAAGGCUUGAAAGGUUCGAACUACACGGACUUUGAUCCCGAUAUCCGGGCAUGUAGGCAAUAAGAAAUGAUUCAAGUCCACCCAAACAAAUUACUCCCGGUAUUCGUAACGGACAACAUUACCCACAAUUUUCAAAAAAAUUUAACUCGAGCACCAGUGUAUAAAUAAGUUGCAAAAAAACCAAAAUCUUUAAAUUCGAACUACGUGGACUUUGAUCCCGAAAUUCAAAUAUGUAGGCAGUCAUUUUGAGUCGAGUCCAUUAAUCAACAUCUCUCCCCAAAAAUCCAAAACCAUUUUAAAUCCUUGUUUUUAAACGUGCGGUAACCCAAAACAUUGAAAGAAAACUUAUCGUCCAACAGUACUGGCCUUGCGCCGGGCGGAACGAUAGCAUUAAGUUGCUAUUGUGAUAUAACCGAUCUCGGAUCCAGAAUUCUCAGGUUUUCGCAGAUAAAGUCACAACUCGUCCGUCCCAGACUACGACGGCUUGGACGGGCCACUAGGGUAUUCGAUCCACCCUAACCUUUAUCGAUCGAUGACGACUCCACAAUAAUACUUCAUUCAUGCGCCGCACGCGCAAGCCAAUCCCCUUCCCUAUAACGAAAAGCAAGCGGAACGCGUUCCAGACGAGAGACCUCCGCAACAAAGGCAAUUCAAAUUUGACCCUUUUUAACCUAAUUAAGUUUGUCCAAAUACUCAUAUUGAUGACUAUGAUUGUCAUCCAACUAUUAAAGUAUAACUAAAAAGAAAAAUUGAAAAUGGGAAAUAAUAUGGUGGGGACGGGUUACUGUUGUUAAGCCAUAGUAAUAUAGCCCCAAUUUGUAAUAUUUUAAAUAAGGGUAAUACUUUCGUGUAAACAUGAACCGAUGUAGCAAGUUUUAAUUGGCCUUUUUAAUUUUAUGUUAUUAAAAUUAUUAAAUUUGUAUAAUUAACAACUUCAUCAUCCAAAAAUUUAAUCAUAUUACCGUUAAAUAUAUUAUUUAACAUCAUUCUUCUUAAAAUUUCAAUUCAAUAUCUCCCCGAUUCCCGAAUAAGCAUUCACGUUCCCAUUCCUAAAUUAAAAAUCCCAAUUUAAUUUGAGAACAGGAAUUUUUAUUCCGGAAUCGAGACCCCGAACACCUUUUUUUCUUCCUGAAUUGAAUUUUUCUCCUAAACAAUCUUUCAUUCCAAGAUAUAAUUUAGGUUUCCCGAAUCCAUAACAUUGCUACUGUAUAAUUGAAAAGUGAUCCCAAUUAUUCCCAAACGCGUUAAAACUGUUCCUGCUACUAAUAAGCCAUCAAUACUGUUACCGCUACUGUAAUAUUAUUACUGCUACUUAGUUUUACUUGUUCAUGGGAAAAGUCUUUAACUAAGUUCUAAUUACUGCGGCUACUAAGUAAUUGUAGACAUCUCUUUGUCUGAUGUUGUAAGCUUGUAACUUUGAAGUUUGAAGAAGAUGAAGAAGAUUUGAGGUCGUCUCAAGAUUUCUCCGCCGGCCCCGUCUGUAGUCCGAACUUCAAUCGCUGUACCGUCCGCCCGUCCCGUAGUUCGCAGUAUCGGAAGAUAGAUAUAUUCCUCCUCAGUCCUUGCUCAAAACACAGCUUCUUUCUAUAAAAAAAUGAAAUCAACUUCGAGAUUUCGGAAAUCCCGAACCCAAAUAAAAAAUCUCGAUCUCGAAUUCACUUUCCCGAACCAAUACCGAAUUAGUUUUGUCCGAAUCGGGAACGGGAAUUCCCAAAAUUCUUUAAUUAUACGGAACGAGACCGGGAAUUCCGAAUCUCGUUCCCAAACUUCCACCCCUAAUCCUCGGGACCCAUCUCUCACUGUGUAAUUUCUACGGCACCUAAAAUCAAAUUUCAUGAUAAUUCAAUAAAACUAUUUCUAUAAAAUGAAUCAUCAUAUUGUAAUGGGAAAGAAAUUUUUUAAAGAAUGCAGGUAAAGUUCUUUCUUUUGUUAAUGAUGGAAGGCUUUCUUAAUGAUAGAAGAUUUUCUGAUGAGUUGUAAAACAAGGAAGAAGAAGAUAAGGUACAGAAAUUUUAAAAAAUAAACAUAAGAAAUAAGAAAACUGUAGUGAGAUUGUGGAGGUUAACAGUGGCAUGAAUUUAAAUAACAAUAAAUUUUAGGUGAUUAAUUUGUAUGUUUUUUAACAUUUUUAAGGAUUAAUAUAAUAUAAUUUGAUAAAAAGUAAAAUUUCACCUAAUAAUAUACCGUUGGAUUUUAUAUCCAAUGCAUGUUUCUAUCAAGAUAUCCGAUUUAAAAUAAUAAAUGUCGGGAAAACGCAUUCUCAAUGUCAUGAUAUAAAUACUUACUGCAUAAUUAAACAGGAAUCAGUGAGAUUGGUGGCGUCGAGAGAGUGGAGGCGAACCACGGAACCAUACGCAGAGGUUUUUGGCUUUGUAAGACACGCUGGCCGACAUAGUCGUCCCAUUCGCAUAACUCCGCCACCUCUUGCUCGCAACGGACUUUAUUAAAUUGAUGUUAAUACCAACAUGGAUAUCACUCAACGUGUUCCAUUCGGAGUUGUAAUUGGUAUCGAACUCCACCGCCACGAACGGAUUCCCCGUCGAAUUGAACUCGUGGCUACUGUCUACCAAACCCAAACGGCCAUCGGCCGAUGCACUGACGGCGGGAGUGGUGUAAUUGAAGGAGGCGAUGAAGAAGGCUAGGCCGUCGCAGGUAUAGUUGCCGUUGUUGUUGUCCAUUGAGAAGGUGAAAUUGGUGUUGAAAUUGGUAAGGUUGCCCGUGGAGGCUUCCUAUAGACGCAUUGGUUUUGAGUAAUGGGCCUGGCCGGUUAUGUACAAGUUGGAGGUUGUGAGUUGGACCCCUGAAUUUCCUCAAGCUGCACUUUCAAAGACUUUGAUGGAGUUGUCGCUGCAUUUGUCGAAGUUUGUGAGAUUGAAGGACAACGGCGCCGUAUGGCAUAUUGAGAUCAAGAGGGACCAAAUGGAAACGGUGAUGAUACUGCUGAUCAUGCUUGUUCCGACUUCUAUUCUGUAAUAUGCAUAUAUAAAAUCAAAGGGAUAAGUCCAAAAUUAGAACUACUACUCACAGCUACGAAGCUUGUUCAAUUUCCAGUCUCAGCUGUAGAAAUUGUUAGUCUGAAACCGGAAACGAAUUAAAUGCAA